UUUCUAUAUGCAGUUGGUGGAGUCACUGGAGGAUUGGGAGUUUUAAUCUUCAUUUUCAUCAUUGUGUUGCUCAUGAGGAAAAAACAGAGACCUACUCACACCACACAAAAGCAGGAUUAUCUUUAUGCUAAUGUAUCAGCUCACAAUGGGUCUCUAUCUGAAUCUGAUGCCACAAAUCAAAACGAUGCCUUGUAUUCCUUAAUUACUCUCAGCAAUUUCAGUCACAA